CCUACGUGAGACAGCAGUGAGGAAUAUUGGUCAAUGGGCUUACGCCUGAACCAGCCAAGUCGCGUGAGGGAAGACUGCCCUAUGGGUUGUAAACCUCUUUUGUCAGGGAGCAACGCCGGCUACGUGUAGCCGGACUGAGAGUACCUGAAGAAAAAGCAUCGGCUAACUCCGUGUCAGCAGCCGCGGUAAUACGGAGGAUGCGAGCGUUAUCCGGAUUUAUGGGGUUUAAAGGGUGCGUAGGCGGAAUGCCAAGUCAGCGGUAAAAUCGCGGGGCUCAACCUCGCUCCGCCGUUGAAACUGGCGGUCUUGAGUGGGCGAGAAGUAUGCGGAAGGCGGGGUGUAGCGGUGAAAUGCAUAGAUAUCACGCAGAACUCCGAUUGCGAAGGCAGCAUACCGGCGCCCAACUGACGCUGAAGCACGAAAGCGUGGGUAUCGAACAGGAUUAGAUACCCCAGUAGUC
rnacentral:rRNA from 1 species